GUUGUUGGGUAGGGGAGCGUUCUGUAAGCCGUUGAAGGUGACCUGUGAGGGUUGCUGGAGGUAUCAGAAGUGCGAAUGCUGACAUAAGUAACGAUAAUGCGGGUGAAAAACCCGCACGCCGGAAGACCAAGGGUUCCUGUCCAACGUUAAUCGGGGCAGGGUGAGUCGACCCCUAAGGCGAGGCUGAAAAGCGUAGUCGAUGGGAAACAGGUUAAUAUUCCUGUACUUGGUGUUACUGCGAAGGGGGGACGGAGAAGGCUAGGCUGGCCGGGCGACGGUUGUCCCGGUUUAAGCGUGUAGGGGGAGUGACCAGGUAAAUCCGGUUGCUUAUCAACCCUGAGGCGUGAUGACGAUGCACCACGGUGCAGAAGCAGUUGAUGCCAUGCUUCCAGGAAAAGCCUCUAAGCAUCAGGUAACAUUAAAUCGUACCCCAAACCGACACAGGUGGUCAGGUAGAGAAUACUCAGGCGCUUGAGAGAACUCGGGUGAAGGAACUAGGCAAAAUGGUGCCGUAACUUCGGGAGAAGGCACGCUGGCGUUAGGUGAAAGGACUAGCUCCUGGAGCUGAAGCCAGUCGCAGAUACCAGCUGGCUGCAACUGUUUAAUAAAAACACAGCACUGUGCAAACACGAAAGUGGACGUAUACGGUGUGACGCCUGCCCGGUGCUGGAAGGUUAAUUGAUGGGGUCAGCCGCAAGGGGAAGCUCUUGAUCGAAGCCCCAGUAAACGGCGGCCGUAACUAUAACGGUCCUAAGGUAGCGAAAUUCCUUGUCGGGUAAGUUCCGACCUGCACGAAUGGCGUAAUGAUGGCCAGGCUGUCUCCACCCGAGACUCAGUGAAAUUGAACUCGCUGUGAAGAUGCAGUGUACCCGCGGCAAGACGGAAAGACCCCGUGAACCUUUACUAUAGCUUGACACUGAACAUUGAGCCUUGAUGUGUAGGAUAGGUGGGAGGCCUUGAAGUGUGGACGCCAGUCUGCAUGGAGCCAACCUUGAAAUACCACCCUUUAAUGUUUGAUGUUCUAACUCGGCCCCAUGAUCUGGGGUGAGGACAGUGUCUGGUGGGUAGUUUGACUGGGGCGGUCUCCUCCCAAAGAGUAACGGAGGAGCACGAAGGUUAGCUAAUCACGGUCGGACAUCGUGAGGUUAGUGCAAAGGCAUAAGCUAGCUUGACUGCGAGAGUGACGGCUCGAGCAGGUACGAAAGUAGGUCUUAGUGAUCCGGUGGUUCUGAAUGGAAGGGCCAUCGCUCAACGGAUAAAAGGUACUCCGGGGAUAACAGGCUGAUACCGCCCAAGAGUUCAUAUCGACGGCGGUGUUUGGCACCUCGAUGUCGGCUCAUCACAUCCUGGGGCUGAAGUAGGUCCCAAGGGUAUGGCUGUUCGCCAUUUAAAGUGGUACGCGAGCUGGGUUUAGAACGUCGUGAGACAGUUCGGUCCCUAUCUGCCGUGGGCGUUGGAAGAUUGAGAGGGGCUGCUCCUAGUACGAGAGGACCGGAGUGGACGAAUCACUGGUGUUCGGGUUGUCAUGCCAAUGGCAUUGCCCGGUAGCUAAAUUCGGAAGAGAUAACCGCUGAAAGCAUCUAAGCGGGAAACUUGCCUCGAGAUGAGUCUUCCCUGGGGCUUAAAGCCCCCUGAAGGAACGUUAAAGACUAUGACGUUGAUAGGCUGGGUGUGUAAGUGCAGCGAUGUAUUGAGCUAACCAGUACUAAUGAUCCGUGAGGCUUAACCUU
rnacentral:rRNA from 5 species